UGAUAUGCCAUCCUGUUCGACCAAAGCUUUUACAGCAGCGAUGUUUGCCUUGAAAACAGAAGUUUUAGGCCUACCAGAACGGGUACCAUCUUCGACAGAUAAUUUCCAAGCUUUAAAAGCUUUAACCGACCUAAACACUGUGGACAUUGAAAUGUCCUGAGGUCCAUAUAUGCCAAACAAUUCAUCAAAUAUCUGCUUUGAAUCUAUAUCAAGCCUAAUGCGUUAUUUAAUAUAGCUAUAAACAGUGUGGGGGAACACGUGACCUGAAAUGAUGCUCAACACAGAUAAAAUGGCGGCCACAGAGCCAAAUUUCACGGAAAAUGCGAGGGCCCUUGCCCAAAGCGUACAAACUGUCUGAACACACAGGACGCCACGUGCCAUUUGUGUAGGAGUAGUUCUAGUUCAAAAUCAAGCAGUGCAUGUCGAAACAAAGUAAGCUGAAAGGACACACACAUGUAAUAAUGAAGGAUGUUAGAUACUACACGGCCAAAGAAGUAAAGAAGAUCCAAGCUUCAACUGGAAACAUGUCCAAAAAAAGACGUUAGUUGUAAGGUUGAAAAGGGCAUGAAAAAGGAAAACAAAAUGCUACUAACAUGAGGGAAGGGACUGUUAUAAUUUGUAGUCUUGUGUUUUGGAAACAACAAUUUGAUUCAUUACUAACUUGCAAUUUCUUACUUUUAGUGUGUAUCGGUCUCACUUUACCUAACAGUAAAGACAUCAUUUAUCUCCUUCUCAACCGAAUUAGAUUUAUGUUUAUAUCAUAUUAUUAUUAUAUGACGAAAUAGAACAUAAGACAUGUCACUUUCAAUACUUAAUUAAAUACGUGAGGAUGUGACUUAUUUUGUUUUUGUAAAAUACCAUGGAUAACAAUAAAAUCGAAGGUAAAUU
rnacentral:lncRNA from 1 species